rnacentral:rRNA from 1 species
UCCUACGGGAGGCAGCAGUGGGGAAUAUUGCACAAUGGGGGAAACCCUGAUGCAGCGACGCCGCGUGAGUGAAGAAGUAUUUCCGUAUGUAAAGCUCUAUCAGCAGGGAAGAAAAAAGACGGUACCUGACUACGAAGCCCCGGCUAACUACGUGCCAGCAGCCGCGGUAAUACGUAGGGGGCAAGCGUUAUCCGGAUUUACUGGGUGUAAAGGGAGCGUAGACGGCAGCGCAAGUCUGGAGUGAAAUGCCGGGGCCCAACCCAGGAACUGCUUUGGAAGCUGUGCAGAUCGAG